AUUGAACGCUGGCGGCAUGCCUAACACAUGCAAGUCGAACGGCAGCACAGUGUGUAGCAAUACACAUGGGUGGCGAGUGGCGGACGGGUGAGUAAUGCUUAGGAAUCUGCCCAGUAGCGGGGGAUAGCCCGGCGAAAGCCGGAUUAAUACCGCAUACGCCCUACGGGGGAAAGCGGGGGACCUUCGGGCCUCGUACUAUUGGAUGAGCCUGAGUCUGAUUAGCUAGUUGGCAGGGUAAUGGCCGACCAAGGCGACAAUCAGUAGCUGGUCUGGGAGGACGACCAGCGACACCGGAACUGAAGCUCGGUCCGGACUCCUACGGGAGGCAGCAGUGGGGAAUAUUGGACAAUGGGGGAGACCCUGAUUCAGCGAUGCCGCGUGUGUGAAGAAGGCCUGCGGGUUGUAAAGCACUUUCAGCAGGGAAGAAAUCCUGGGGGAUAAUACUCCGCAGGCUUGACGUUACUUACAGAAGAAGCACCGGCUAACUCCGUGCCAGCAGCCGCAGUAACAC
rnacentral:rRNA from 1 species